GUGGGUGUAGCUUAAUGGAUAAAGCCAUAGCCUUCUAAGCUAUUGAGUGUAGGUUCGAGUCCUACCACCCAUA
rnacentral:tRNA from 1 species